rnacentral:rRNA from 1 species
AGGGCGCUAAAUGGAUGCCUAGACGUAUAUUACCGAUGAAGGACGUGGAAGACUGCGAUAAGCUUCGGGAAGCUGUCAACAAGCUUUGAUCCGGAGAUCUCCGAAUGGGGAAACCCAGCAUGAGUCAUGUCAUGUUGCCACUUGCUGAACACAUAGGCAAGCGAGCGGGAACCAUCUGAACUGAAACAUCUUAGUAGGAUGAGGAAGAGAAAGUAAAUAACGAUUGCGAAAGUAGUGGCGAGCGAAAUCGCAACAGCCCAAACCUUUUAAGUUUUUGCCUAUUAAUUUAGGCAAAUAAGUUGAUAGACGAAUACUUAUAAGGGGUUGUGAUAUUACAUAUGACCAAGUCAGAGAAUUUGAUUCAUUCAAAUAAUCUGAUUUGCGAUAACUGGCUAUCAACAGUUAGUAAGGUAAGAAAUCGGCGUGGUUAGUAGAAUAGUUUGAAUGACUAGCCAAAGAACGUGAAAGCCGUGUAUAUGAAAACGACGCUGACCUUAUGUAUGUUUUAUCGAGUAGGACGGGGCACGAGAAACCCUGUUUGAAUCUGGCUGGACCACCAGCCAAGGCUAAAUAUAGUAUACGAUCGAUAGUGAACUAGUACAGUGAUGGAAAGGUGAAAAGAACCCCGGGAGGGGAGUGAAAUAGAUCCUGAAAUUUAGUGCCUACAAGGAGUCGGAGCCGGCUUGUCCGGUGACGGCGUGCUUUUUGUAGAACGAUCCAGCGAGUUAAUUUUUACAGCGAGGUUAAGUCAAUUGACGGAGCCACAGUGAAAGCGAGCCUGAAUAGGGCGAUUAAGUUGUAAGGAUUAGACCCGAAACCGGGUGACCUAACCAUGAGCAGGUUGAAGCCACUGUAACAGGUGGUGGAGGACCGAACCAGGAUACGCAGCAAAGUGUUUGGAUGACUUGUGGUUAGCGGUGAAAUGCCAAUCGAACUCGGAGAUAGCUGGUUCUCCUCGAAAUAGCUUUAGGGCUAGCGUCGUGUUAGUAGCACAUGGGGGUAGAGCUCUGUAAAGGACUGGGGCGGGCAACUGUACCCACCCUUAACAAACUACGAAUACCAUGUGUGUAAUCACGGCAGUUAGAACAUCGGUGCUAAGAUCGGUGCUCAAAAGGGAAACAGCCCAGACCAUCAUCUAAGGUCCCUAAAUUAACGUUCAGUGGGAAACAAGGUGAGAUUUCUUAAACAGCUAGGAUGUUGGCUUAGAAGCAGCCAUUCAUUUAAAGAGUGCGUAACAGCUCACUAGUCAAGAGAUUUUGCGUGGAAAAUGUAACGGGGCUAAAGUGUUAAACCGAAGACAUGGACUUCAUAUUUUAUGGAGUGGUAGAGGAGCGUUGAUAUCGCAGUGAAGUCAGAUUGUAAAGUCUGGUGGAGCGUUAUCAAGUGAGAAUGCUGGAAUCAGUAACCUUAAGACAGGUGAGAAUCCUGUCGGUCGUAAGAGCAAGGUUUCCAGGGCUACAGUAAUUGUCCCUGGGUUAGUCGGUCCUAAGCCGAGGCGCAUCAGCGUAGGCGAUGGACAACAGGUUAAUAUUCCUGUACAGGUAGUAGUUGUUAACAGUUCACGGUGAGUGACUAGAGCGGAUUAAUGGUUUAUCCGUCCAAGGCUUCAAGGAAUUGAAGUUGAGUGAAAGAUAUUCUUCGGAAUAUUGAUUCUGGGUACAACGCUGGCUAGAAAAGCUGAUUAACUUAUGCUGCUGCCUACCGUACCGCAAACCAACACCGGUGCUCGGGUCGAGUAGACCAAGACCUACGUGAGAACCUUCGCUAAGGAACUCGGCAAAAAAGCGUCCGUAACUUCGGAAUAAGGACUGCCCUCUCAUUAAGAUGAGGAUUUGCUAGAAACUUGGUGGAAACAUAAGGUUAAUAGUAUUUACCUAAUAAUUUAACCAAAUUUUUCGUCAAGACAGAACACAUCAGGAAAUAUCCUGUGAUAUCUUUUCUAGUAACUCAAUCGUCAUUUUGAUGAGAGGGUCGCAGCUAAAGAGCCCACGGAACUGUUUAACAAAAACAUAGGUCUCUGCUAACGCGAAAGCGGAUGUAUAGGGGCUGACUCCUGCCCGGUGUCGGAAGGUUAAGGGGAGAGCUUUACGGUUCGAACUGAAGCCCCGAUGAACGGCGGCGAUAACUAUGAUCGUCCUAAGGUAGCGAAAUUCCUUGUCUGGUAAGUUCAGACCCGCACGAAUGGAGUAAUCAUGUGGGCACUGUCUCGGCGAAGGCCACGGUGAACGUGCAUUGGCGGUAAAGAUGCCGUCUGAUCAUGCCAGGACGAGAAGACCCCAUGGAGCUUUACUACAACUUUGCAUUGAUUAUUGGGACAUUUUGUGUAGAAUAGGUGGAAGACUUUGAAGCAGAUACGCUAGUAUUUGUGGAGUCGAAAUGUGAAAUACCACCCUGAAUGUUUUAGUAAUCUCACUUUUGACCUUAUCGGCCAAGAGGACCGUGCAUGGCGGGUAGUUUAACUGGGGCGGUUGCCUCCUAAAGAGUAGCGGAGGCGUUCA